GGCACAAAGAAUAAAGCUUUCAAAAGAAUUAUCAAAACGCUCCACUGGAAAAACAUUAUACAUUUUAGAUGAACCUACAACUGGACUGCAUUUUGAAGAUAUAAAUAACUUACUGACAAUACUGCACAAGUUGGUUGAUAUGGGAAAUACGGUGAUAGUUAUUGAACAUAAUUUACACGUUAUAAAGACAGCAGAUUACAUAAUAGAUAUCGGACCAGAGGGAGGAGCAAAAGGUGGCAGAGUGGUAGCUAGAGGAAUACCAGAAGAGGUAGCUAGUAUGCCAGAAAGUGUUACUGGUAAAUAUCUUAAACAACACCUGCCAAAAUUAGUGCAAGCAUAAAUAGUUACAGUUGUUUUUGAUCCAGUUAUGGCAUGGCUUUUUAGGGUUAAAACAUCAAAUGUGAGAGGGUAGGAAAAAGUUUAAAAUAAAAAACAAACUAUAGAAUUCCUUAAGUCAUAUCUGUAUGUUGCUGGCACUUUUACCU